ACUCCGUGCCAGCAGCCGCGGUAAUACGGAGGAUGCGAGCGUUAUCCGGAUUUAUUGGGUUUAAAGGGUUCGUAGGCGGGUUAAUAAGUCAGCGGUGAAAGGUUUCAGCUCAACUGAAGAAGUGCCGAUGAUACUGUUAAUCUUGAAUUAUAAUGAAGUAGCUGGAAUGUGUAGUGUAGCGGUGAAAUGCAUAGAUAUUACACAGAACACCAAUAGCGAAGGCAGGUUACUAAUUAUAGAUUGACGCUGAAGGACGAAAGCGUGGGUAGCGAACAGGAUUAGAUACCCUGGUAGUCCACGCCGUAAACGAUGGAUACUAGUUGUUGGGCGCGAAUAAGUGUUCAGUGACUAAGUGAAAGCAAUAAGUAUCCCACCUGGGGAGUACGUUCGCAAGGAUGAAACUCAAAGGAAUUGACGGGGGCCCGCACAAGCGGUGGAGCAUGUGGUUUAAUUCGAUGAUACGCGAGGAACCUUACCAAGGCUUAAAUGGGAAUUGACAGGCUCAGAAAUGAGUUUUUCUUUCGGGACAAUUUUCAAGGUGCUGCAUGGUUGUCGUCAGCUCGUGCCGUGAGGUGUCAGGUUAAGUCCUAUAACGAGCGCAACCCCUAUCAUUAGUUGCCAACGAGUUAAGUCGGGAACUCUAAUGAGACUGCCAGUGUAAACUGUGAGGAAGGAGGGGAUGAUGUCAAAUCAUCACGGCCCUUACGUCUUGGGCUACACACGUGCUACAAUGGCCGGUACAGAGGGCAGCUACACUGCGAAGUGGUGCGAAUCUCGAAAACCGGUCUCAGUUCGGAUUGGAGUCUGCAACUCGACUCUAUGAAGCUGGAAUCGCUAGUAAUCGCAAAUCAGCCAUGUUGCGGUGAAUACGUUCCCGGGCCUUGUACACACCGCCCGUCAAGCCAUGGAAGUUGGGGGUACCUGAAGUCGGUGACCGUAAAAGGAGCUGCCUAAGGUAAAACCAGUAACUGGGGCUAAGUCGUAACAAGGUAGCCGUACCGGAAGGUGCGGCUG
rnacentral:rRNA from 1 species